AUGAGCAACGCAGCUAGCGCAACCCCCCUCCUCGCCCCCUACAAGAUGGGGAAAUUUGAUCUUUCCCACAGGGUGGUUCUUGCGCCGCUCACAAGGGAGCGGUCGUUCGGAAACGUUCCUCAGCCGCAUGCCGUACUGUAUUAUCAGCAGAGAGCAACCAAAGGAGGCCUUCUGAUUGCUGAGGCCACUGGAGUUUCAGACACUGCUCAGGGGUACAAGGACACUCCUGGCAUCUGGACCAAGAAGCAGGUAGAAGCAUGGAAGCCGAUCGUCGAUGGGGUUCAUGCCAAAGGAGGAAUAUUUUUCUGUCAGAUUUGGCAUGUAGGAAGAGUCUCCAAUCAUGCUUUUCAGCCUAAUGGGCAGGCUCCAAUUUCAAGCACCGAUAAGCCAAUCAAACCUGCAACGAGAGCCGAUGGCAUAGGAUUGGCCAAAGUCUCAACCCCUAGGCGACUAGAGACUGAUGAAAUCCCGUUGGUCAUCGAUGAUUUCAGGGUCGCUGCUAGAAAUGCAAUUGAAGCCGGAUUUGAUGGCGUCGAAAUCCACGGGGCUCAUGGUUAUUUGAUCGACCAGUUCUUGAAGGACCAAGUCAAUGAUCGCACCGACAAAUACGGUGGGAGCUUAGAGAACCGUUGCCGCUUUGCGCUAGAAGUAGUCCAAGCCGUAGCUGAUGAAAUUGGAGCCGAUAAGGUUGGCAUAAGGCUUUCACCCUUUGCAAGUUACUCCGAGGCAUCAGACUCAAACCCGGAAGCUCUGGGCCUAUACAUGGCACAGGCGCUGAACAAGCUUGGAAUCCUCUACUGCCACAUGGUGGAACCACGGAUGGUGAAUAUUGGGGAAAAGCUUGAAACCCCGCACAGCCUUCGCCCCAUGAGGGAUGCUUUCAAGGGAACAUUCAUCGUGGCUGGUGGAUAUGGUAGGGAUGAUGGAGAUAAAGCGAUCGCCGAUGGCUAUGCUGAUUUGGUUGCAUAUGGGCGCUUGUUUUUAUCCAACCCGGACUUGCCCCGGAGGUUUGAAAUGGAUGGUCCUCUCAACAAGUACAAUAGAGAUACUUUCUACCUCUCUGAUCCAGUUAUUGGAUACACUGACUACCCGUUUCUACCGUCCGAUGUAUGA
rnacentral:rRNA from 1 species